GAGGGUAUAGCUCAGUGAUAAGAGUGCCUGCUUAGCAUGCAGGAGGUCUUGGGUUCAAUCCCCGGUACCUCCA
rnacentral:tRNA from 1 species